AAACUUACCUGGUUGGGGAGAUUCCAUGACCAUGAAGGUGGUUUUCCCAGGGCGAGGCUUAUCCAUUGCACCCCGUAUGUGCUGGCCCCUGCGAUUUCCCCAAAAGUGGGAAACUCGACUGCAUAUCUGUGGUAGUGGGGGACGGCGUCCGUGCUCUCCCCUG